UGGGGAAUAUUGCACAAUGGGCGCAAGCCUGAUGCAGCCAUGCCGCGUGUAUGAAGAAGGCCUUCGGGUUGUAAAGUACUUUCAGCGGGGAGGAAGGUGUUGUGGUUAAUAACCACAGCAAUUGACGUUACCCGCAGAAGAAGCACCGGCUAACUCCGUGCCAGCAGCCGCGGAAAUACGGAGGGUGCAAGCGUUAAUCGGAAUUACUGGGCGUAAAGCGCACGCAGGCGGUCUGUCAAGUCGGAUGUGAAAUCCCCGGGCUCAACCUGGGAACUGCAUCCGAAACUGGCAGGCUUGAGUCUUGUAGAGGGGGGUAGAAUUCCAGGUGUAGCGGUGAAAUGCGUAGAGAUCUGGAGGAAUACCGGUGGCGAAGGCGGCCCCCUGGACAAAGACUGACGCUCAGGUGCGAAAGCGUGGGGAGCAAACA
rnacentral:rRNA from 1 species